UUAAGAAUCUUGAGAUGAUGACAUCAUUCUGGACUAUUUUAGUCACUCUUAAAUACAAUGACAAAUGUCCAUAGAAGUAAUGAACAGAGAAGAGACACCAAGGAGGAAACAACGUGAACAUGGAAACCGAGAUUGCAGAGAUGUGUCCACAAAUAAAAGAGCACCUGAGGCAACCAGAAGUUGAAAGAAACAAGAAAGAAUCCCCUCUCCAGAGCCUUUACAGGAAGUGUGGCUCGGUUGACAUUUGGAAUUAGGCCCUGGCAACCAUCCAAAGUGUCCCACACAAAGCACAUAUAAUUAAUGUUCCCAAGAACAAUGAUCGAUAUGCUUUAAAAAAAGAAGAAAAAAAGAGCUGAUAUAGGCCAGAUGUGCAGGAGGGUGAGAUAAAUUCACCAGAGACAGAGUGGG